AACGCACAUUGCGCCCGCCAGUAUUCUGGCGGGCAUGCCUGUUCGAGCGUCAUUUCAACCCUCAGGUCCCCCUUUUCGGAGGGGGAGACACCCUGGUGUUGGGGGACGGCAUCCCGGCCCGCUGUCUCAGUGUGCCACGCCGCCCCCGAAAUGAAUUGGCGGCCUCGUCGCGUGCCACCCCUGCGUAGUAGCACAACCUCGCAACGGGAGCCCGACGCGGCCACUGCCGUAAAACGCCCAACUUUUACAGAGUUGACCUCGAAUCAGGUAGGAAUACCCGCUGAACUUAA
rnacentral:misc_RNA from 1 species